UACGUAGGGUGCGAGCGUUGUCCGGAAUCAUUGGGCGUAAAGGGCGCGUAGGUGGCCCGGUCAGUUCGUGGUGAAAGCGCGGGGCUCAACCCUGCGUCGGCCAUGAAUACUGCCGCGGCUGGAGCACUGUAGAGGCAGGCGGAAUUCCGGGUGUAGCGGUGGAAUGCGUAGAGAUCCGGAAGAACACCGGUGGCGAAGGCGGCCUGCUGG
rnacentral:rRNA from 1 species